UUGUGAUGAAACUUAAACUAAUGCUGGAAUUACCGUCAGAUUGUCCAGUGCUGAUGCUUUGUUUUCUGAAC